UCUGCAGAGGCAAGCAGAAUAGAUUCGGUGACUCGGGGGUUCCUCUCGCCCGGGGGUCCCCGCCCCUCCCGCUACCAACCCCCUCCUCGCGCGCCAACCGGAGUGGCAUCCAGACCGGACAGCGGGGCUGGGAGCGCUCCGAGGACUCCCUACUGCACACGCUUAUGCGCCGGGUCACUGGAGCCGCCCUGCACGCGAGUCCGCGAGCACACACGCACCGUCCGAGCUACGCUUGGCCUGCAAGAGCCAGAAGCAACCCAACCGCGCUGCGCGCAGCUUCCCUUUCUGGUCCCUGAGAGUCCCUGCGGCGAAGGCGCCGUUGCGAAGAGGCUGCUGGCUCCGCUGGGUGAUAAAAACCCAAAUCUGCGAAGCCAUCACGCACACUCGCACGCGCGCGCACACACACACUCACACACACCCUCUCCCCUCCCCCGCUGCCCAAAGGUGUCUCGGAGGAAAAAGCCCGGGGUCCACGCUCCCCCCCCCACCCCGGUCUUUCUGAGGUCCAGCUUUUACUGCAUUCCGCUUAACCGAAUAACCAUGCUAAUUAAGCGAGUAAUUUUAUUGAUUGUAACUCAAGAGUUUUUUUUUUUUAAAUAACCUUCCUUUUCUCCUCUCCCAUCCCCCCAUGCGUCUUUCAGUCCAUUCUUCUGAAUGUCGUCCCCCACUCACUCAGCCCCAGCGGGACCGGCCCCCACCCUCAAGCAUUGUGCCACAACCCCAGACUGGCGUCCCGGAGCCCCGGGCGCCCCUCGACCGCCACCGGCAUCACCUGGGCCGCUACGCCGCAGUGCCUGGCCUGCUGUCCCCGAGCCCGGAGCUUCCUAGUGAGGCUGGAACAAUCACCCCGCCCCCCAAUCAAAUUCGCCCAGGAUCUUCCUCUGCGGAUUGGGGGCUUUGGGGGAGGGGGCUCAGAGUCAGAAAUUGUUUUCUCUCGGCCUCCCAAAUCGGCCACGACGUUUCUCCAUUCAGCGCCCGCCCUGGAUCACCUAACCAAGGCUGGUCCCCGCGUGGCACCCAGAUCGACCCUGCAGUGAGGGAGCAGAGACCAAACAGAGCGCAGCUUUCUCCUGUGUCUGGGUCCCAGCAGACCUUGGUCCUCGGUCUUCCAUCCCCACCUCUAGCAAGGCCGACUUAAAAUGACCCUCCUCUCCCUUUUCCUCUACCCCUCCCAUCGUGAAAUGUCUACUCCAGGGUGAAAUCGCAGACAAUUUCAAACUCUGAGAGGAGCAACCGAGCACGCGAUAUAAACUGUACACCACCAUGCACGUGCGACCAAAGUCUCUGCCAUCCUCCAUUUCCAAUACUUUCUCCUUAUUUCCGAAAUACGAAUUGUUUUAAUGCUUGGUCUCAGCUCCAAUAGAAAGGAGGUAUUCUUAAUUGUGAACUUUGCAGAAAAUCAAAAUCUUUUUUUAAGCCAUCCCACCGUGACAACAAAGCGAUUAAGAUGUUUUCUAUUUCGUAAAUACCAUUUAAAUUGCUAUAUUUUAUGCUCUGGGUUCUACACUGUCUUAUUUGCACACUAUUUUGUGUCUGAUUUAAUCUAUAACCGAAAACAUAAUGUAUUAAGUGAAUACAUAUUUGCCCAGGUGAUAAGCUUUUUUUAAUAUUUAUUCGGAGAAUUUUGCAUUGUAAAUAAACGGGGCUACACAAAGACUUCUCUUUGUGUUCAAACUGCAUACAAAGGGGUUUGAGGCACUCUUCCCUCUGGGGAGUUUCACUCUCCCCGGGUCCAACAAAUAACUCGCCUCUCCACCGCGCGGGCCUGCUCAGCGAUCGCCAGGGCGCGGGAGGCUCAGGCAAGGCCCAGGCGCUGCCGGCGCCAGGGUUAGGGGAGGGGCUGCCCAGGGUCGGUGAGGAACUUGCGCGCCCCUACCCAGGCCGGCGCCUCUCGAACCCCGGAGGGCGCUGAGGAGGACAAAGGGAAAGAAGGAAGGGGAGGGAGGUCAGGAACCUGCCGCUUCAAAGGCGCCGAGGGCCGGAGUGGGGUCGGAGGCUGCGCGCGCGGUACAAGGCUUCGCGACGGCCUCCGGGGAGUCGUGUGCGCUGGGCUUUUGUUCUGGGCCCCCACCCCCAGUAAGACAUUUCAAAGUAGGGGCGAAAAGUGGGGGCUGCAAGCGAUUCUCGGGACGCGGGCUUUGAGCUCCCGGAGCAGCUUUACUCUCCACCCCCUGCGGGCCGAUCGCUGGCUCGUUCGUGCCUUCUCACAAGCCCACUAGACUUUCUACGCAAACAAGGGCUGGAUUAUGUCGCCAGUACCCGCUGCUGCGCUUCUGACCGACCGCACUGGAGGGGACUUUUCUUUGUGUUCCGUCCUGCCGGAGAGCUGCCGCGCCGCCCAGGUCUGCUGGCUCCCUGGGCCUGGGAAAGCCGGCUCAGUACGGAACGAGGAGGGACAGCCACCGGGGCCACCGAGCGAGGGCCGAGGCCCGGAGCUGCGAUGCAGCAGUCCCCGAGUCCCGAGGCUCGGAGGCCUCCACGCGCCCAGUCUCCGGACAGGACACCGCAAUGGGCCCGGGACAGGGUGGCACUGGAGGAAACAGAAAGUGGCGGAGAGCCCCGCGCGGCCGAGAGUCGCCGAUAAGAACAGGUCUAAAGUACCCGGACCCCAAAAAUCCUCCCCCGGAUGCUGGGCGUGACCCCCCAGAGCCGCAGUUCCUUCCGAGGCUUGGCCAGCACUGGUACCCUCGGCUUCUCGAGAAUAAAAAGGACAGCCUUACGCCAUAAACCAGAAGCCCUGUCCACGCCUGGGGUCUGUCUGGCAGGUGACCUGGAUGCAAGAAGGCCCAACUUCCAAGCGCAGAGGCCGGACUGUCUUGCUGUACCUCCACUCCCAGGCCGCCACCCACUCGGACCCGAGCCGGAGAAUACACUUGGGUCUGAGGAGUGGCCACACAAACUCCAUGAGUGCUUGCCUGGCCCUUCCUCCCUCUGCCUGAGAGGCAGGGAGAUGGACCUUUCUUCUCCAGCCAUCUAUCUGUCCGCGCUCAAUUUUAUCUCCCUCUGCCACACUCCGCAGCGCAGCAACAAUCGAAAUGAAAAUCGAGGCUCUGUUGCUAAGAUAAGGAUUUGCUUUUUUCAUCAGCUCCUAGAUUUUAAAAAUAUCUUCACUUGAUAAUUUUAGGGUGGUUGUCAUGGUGUGAAACCGUGCUUAGCAUUUCUCAGCGCCUGUCCUUACAUAUUCACAAAAUUUCUCACUACAAUGGAAAACAGCCUCUAAACAAUUCUCUUUAUCAUAAUCAGAACCAAAACCACUUUUAGAAAUAUUCUGCAAGCAAAUAUUUCGGUUAGAAUUUGGUUGCCUACCCAAAUGUUAUUUAUUUUCAAGAAGUAGAGGUGAUGUCUUAGUGGCGAUGAAUACAUAAUUCCUGCUCCUCU